rnacentral:rRNA from 1 species
UGCCAGCCGCCGCGGUAAUACGGGGGAUGCAAGCGUUAUCCGGAAUUACUGGGCGCAAAGCGCACGUAGGCGGAUUAGAAAGUUAGAGGUGAAAUCCCGGGGCUCAACCCCGGAACUGCCUUUAAAACUACUAGUCUAGAGUUCGAGAGAGGUGAGUGGAAUUCCGAGUGUAGAGGUGAAAUUCGUAGAUAUUUGGAGGAACACCAGUGGCGAAGGCGGCUCACUGGCUCGAUACUGACGCUGAGGUACGAAAGUGUGGGGAGCAAACAGGAUUAGAUA